rnacentral:rRNA from 1 species
AGUGAACGCUGGCGGUAGGCCUAACACAUGCAAGUCGAACGGCAGCACAGUAAGAGCUUGCUCUUACGGGUGGCGAGUGGCGGACGGGUGAGGAAUACAUCGGAAUCUACUUUUUCGUGGGGGAUAACGUAGGGAAACUUACGCUAAUACCGCAUACGACCUACGGGUGAAAGCAGGGGAUCUUCGGACCUUGCGCGAUUGAAUGAGCCGAUGUCGGAUUAGCUAGUUGGCGGGGUAAAGGCCCACCAAGGCGACGAUCCGUAGCUGGUCUGAGAGGAUGAUCAGCCACGCUGGAACUGAGACACGGUCCAGACUCCUACGGGAGGCAGCAGUGGGGAAUAUUGGACAAUGGGCGCAAGCCUGAUCCAGCCAUACCGCGUGGGUGAAGAAGGCCUUCGGGUUGUAAAGCCCUUUUGUUGGGAAAGAAAAGCAGCAGGUUAAUACCCCGCUGUUCUGACGGUACCCAAAGAAUAAGCACCGGCUAAUUUCGUG